UAACUUUAGGUGUAUCAGGAUUUGAAGCGGGCAGAUAUUAAGGGUCUUCUAGUUUACCGAAAGGAAGAUCUCUCAGAGAAGUAUGGAAUUCGUGGCAACAAGUUGGUUCUACCUAUCAUUCUGUUAGCCGAGGAAGGAUAUAUAAUAGAACCCAUCAGUGAUUCUACCAAACAAAAAGGGGAUCUGUCAAGUACUGCUGGUAACCAUGGUUAUGAUCCAAGCAUGGGGAAGGAUAUGUGGACAAUCUUUUAUGCUAAGGGACCAUUACUGAGGAGAGACUACACAUCUCCUGGUAUUUCCAUGGUGGACCACUACAACCUCUUGUGCUACCUUGCCGGUGUCCCUCCUCGACCAAACAACGGCAGCUGGGAGCACGUCAGUAGCAUGCUGGCUGAAGAAGAACAAAUAACAACCUGGGAUUGGAUUGUUACUGGAGGAGCGGUGGUCACAAUCAUGUUUAUUGGUCUAUACCUGUUUGUUUAUUUAUCAUGGCCAAAAAAAUCUAGAAGUGGGCGAAAGCACGAAUGAAUAGAAAUAUGUGAGAGUUUAGUAAAUCAAGUGAAAACAUUGUAUUUUAGAAGAGAGAAAAAUGCAUACAGAAAUAUAUAAAUUUAUCUAGUUUGAUUACGUUUGUUUUUCCUUUUUAAAGAAAGUUUGUAUUUGACAACUGUUCUUUGUUGAAGUUAAAAAGAACAACUGGUAUCCUGAUCGGAGAGCCCAUAUUUUGUUCUGUAAAGAUGUUUCUGUAAUAUAAUUACAUGAUUUCUUGUAAACCUUGAGGAGUUAAAUCCUGGCAAAGAAUUGAUAAUCAUUCCUCUGUAUGUGAAGUCACUUUGGCCAAAUUUUGUAAAUAUAUAUAUUCAAUUUAAAAUAACUGCAGAGUGUUGGAAAUCGUUUAAAGCAGAACCAGAUUAAAGAAUUUCAAGACUAAGCAUUACAAAAAAUCUCUCCUUAAACUAGACAAAGCAUGUUAUGUUCAGCAUGUAAAUAAGAGCAAGUCUCCUUGUAUCAUGCUUGUGACCACAGGGGGUGUGAUUGGCUAGUAAAGGUCAGUUACUCAAGAUAAUGUAGAAUCAAAACAAGUCUCACCAUUCAACUACGAUUUUGUAUUUUCAUGGUUACUAAUAGCAUUAAUGUUCCUCAGUUCUGGGAAUACCUCAGAGUUGAAGAUAUACUCAAGUAAUAUAAUGAAAACACAAAAAUGUCAAUAACUCAUGUUAGUGCCUAAUGCUUACUUGUUGACUUAAGCGACCUUCUUUAGGUCGCAUGAUUUAUAGGUAAGAAACUCUGUCAUACCAAGGCUAUAGGCCUGCUGUAGUAUAAUAAAAGUUAAAUGCUUUAAAGAUUU